GGAACCGUUUUCCGCGAUGAUAACACCGAGUACCGCCUGCAAGCAGGCUAUUUUUUUACUGACCUGUAGAAGAUGGCGUUACACGGAAAACUGCCAAACAGACUAGAACCUGAAAAAGAAGCGCGAUUAGUGAAACAACGAAACAGUUCUCGGUCCGCACUUAAUUGAAACGAGGCGUGAAGAUGACAAAAUGGCGGCGAUGCAUAAGCCCAGGAAGGGGGCAAAUUGUUUAAGUUAUACAUACAUAAGAAGUUGCAGAAAAUAACCGCUCGCAAAAUUCCCAGAAGCGGAUGACGUAGGCUCUAUGUAAGUAUAACUUAUAACUUCCUCUUGAAGGAUUUCCUGAGCAAUUAAAAUUCUUUCUUAUUAUUUUAUCAGGGCCAAUCGAUUCUCUGCUGCUUUUUGACACUCUUAGCGUUUUAUAGGACGGGUUCUAUGUCUUUAUUUAGAAACACAUUGCUCUAAAUUUUGUUAUCGAAAUUAGUGUCAAAGUGAUUAAAAUGACUUUGCAUCACGUUCACAUUCAAACAAAUACGAAAGUUGUCAAAAAUAACUACUUUUCAUAACACAACAUAAAAACCAACGUAAUAAUAAAAGAAAAUCAUUACAAGCA